UCCAUUGAAAUGUACGUGGACUACAAAUGCAAUUAAUUUCAUCGAAACUUCUGGAAGGACGCUAUUGCGAAAACCCGCAGACUUGAUCCCAAAAGAUUGGGUAUAACUAUGAAAGAGUUCCAAAUCAUGCUAGAUCAAGGAAUUAUACUACCCUCGAAAAGCGAGUGGGCUAACCCUUUGUGCCUACAACCAAUGGAAAUUGGCGCCCGUGCGGGGAUUUUUGUUUUCUCAACAAGAUAACUACCCCAGGAAGCCAUCAAAUCCCUGGAGGACGUAUUUUUGAAUUCAAAAACCGCCCUUGGCUGUGGCAGAUCUUUCAGCGAGAUGGCUGAAAAGUUCAAAUUCACCUGUUCUGGGUACCGGGCCAGAUGAGUUUGCGAGACCAGGAACUACCUUACACAUACCAGGGGAACUGUGGGUAUGACUUUCGCGACAUGCAAGAACUUGUCUGAUUUAGCAGAUGUGAAAAUCCGUAAGUUAUUGGGCCUUUUAAAGCGAUCUGGAUGGUUCAACGUUAGGAACUAGAAGGCAUCUUUCUUCUCCUGUUCCUGUGGUAUCAUA